AGGGGGGAGUAGUGUAUGGGAACCUAGCGCUCUCGGAAAAAUAACUGCUCAAAACAAUAGCUAACACCGCAUACUCUCAGAAGAAGAAAGCGGGGGACCUUCGGGCCUUGUUAUUUUCGAUGGGCCCACUGAGAUUAUCUAUUUGGUGGGGGAAAGGCCUACCAAGGCGACCAUCUCUACCUGGUCUGAGAGGAUGAGCCGCCACACUGGGACUGAGACACCGCCAAGACUCCUACAGGAGGCAGCAGUGGGGAAUUUCGCUCAAUGGGCGCAAGCCUGACCCACCCAUGCCGCGUGACUGAAGAAGGACUUCGGGUUGUACAUGACUUUUGUUAGGGAAGAAAAUGAUAGGGUUAAUACCUCUGUUUGAUGACGGUACUUGAAGAAUAAGCUAAGGCUAACUCCGUGCCAGCAGCCGCGGUAAUACGUAAGGUGCGAGCGUAAUUCGGGAUUACUGGGGUAUAAAGGAAGCGUACACGAGUACUUAAGCAGAUGCUCAAAAUUCCCGGGGUCAACUCUGGGGAUUGCUUUUGAACUGAGUGAAUUUGAGUGAGUCAGAAGUGGGGCAGAAUUCCUGUGUGCCUUGAAAUGCGAAGAGUUGCGAAGGAAUACAGACCGCCAAGGAACCUCCUGGCGUUAUGACUGACCUUCAAGGUCCUAAGCGGUAUUAGUAACAUGAAAUAUCAUACCCAUG
rnacentral:rRNA from 1 species